rnacentral:rRNA from 1 species
AGCAGCCGCGGUAAUUCCAGCUCCAAUAGCGUAUAUUAAAGUUGUUGCAGUUAAAAAGCUCGUAGUUGAAUUUCGGAGUUUGUCAGUUGGUCGGGCUUCACUGUCCGCACUGGCCUGAUGGAUUCCUACCUUCUGAAUAACCAGCAUGCUAUUAAGUUAGUGCGUUGGGGAAGCAGAGCUAUUACCUUGAAAAAUUAGAGUGCUUAAAGCAGGCUUAUGCUUGAAUAGAUUAGCAUGGAAUAAUAAAAUAGGACGGCAUGGUUCUAUUUUGUUGGUUUCUAGGAUCACCGUAAUGAUUAAUGGGGAUAGUUGGGGGCAUUAGUAUUCAAUUGUCAGAGGUGAAAUUCUUGGAUUUAUUGAAGACUAACUUCUGCGAAAGCAUUUGCCAAGGAUGUUUUCAUUAAUCAAGAACGAAAGUUAGGGGAUCGAAGACGAUCAGAUACCGUCGUAGUCUUAAACCAUAAACCUAUGCCGACUAGGGAUCGGACGAUGUUAAUUUUUAAUGUACUACGUUCGGCGU